AGAGUGAACGCUGGCGGCAGGCCUAAUACAUGCAAGUCGAACGGAUUCUUCGGGAUUAGUGGCGGACGGGUGAGUAACACGUGGGAACGUGCCCUUUGGUUCGGAACAACUCAGGGAAACUUGAGCUAAUACCGGAUGUGCCCUUCGGGGGAAAGAUUUAUCGCCAUUGGAGCGGCCCGCGUCUGAUUAGCUAGUUGGUGGGGUAAAGGCCUACCAAGGCUACGAUCAGUAGCUGGUCUGAGAGGAUGAUCAGCCACACUGGGACUGAGACACGGCCCAGACUCCUACGGGAGGCAGCAGUAGGGAAUCUUGCGCAAUGGGCGAAAGCCUGACGCAGCCAUGCCGCGUGAAUGAUGAAGGUCUUAGGAUUGUAAAAUUCUUUCAGUGGGGACGAUAAUGACGGUACCCACAGAAGAAGCCCCGGCUAACUUCGCGCCAGCAGCCGC
rnacentral:rRNA from 1 species